GAUGAAGAACGUAGCGAAAUGCGAUAAGUAGUGUGAAUUGCAGAAUUCCGUGAAUCAUCGAAUCUAUGAACGCACAUUGCGCCUUCUGGUAUUCCGGAAGGCAUGCCUGUUCGAGAGUCAUUAACAACCGUUUCGAUCCCUUUCUUUCAGAAAUUACAAAGAGGAAAAGGGUUUGGUUAUGGUGGAGGAGGGAAAGGGAGCGUUUAGCCUGUAAAAAAAGAGGCUGUGUUCCGCCUCCCCCCCAAAAUUGUACAGGCGGUCGUGUGCGCCCACGCAUCGAGGUGUUGUAAAAGCUGCCACGGCACUUUUCACCUGUGCAGUGCGAGAUUGGCCAGCCGGUUUAAAAACCCCUCCAAACAAUCAAAGGUUGACCUCGGAUCAGGUAGGGAUACCCGCUGAACUUAAGCAUAUCAAUAAGCGGAGGA
rnacentral:misc_RNA from 1 species